rnacentral:rRNA from 1 species
CGGACUUGAUGGAGAGCUUGCUCUCCUGAUGGUUAGCGGCGGACGGGUGAGUAACACGUAGGCAACCUGCCUGCAAGACCGGGAUAACCCACGGAAACGUGAGCUAAUACCGGAUAUCUCAUUUCCUCUCCUGAGGGGAUGAUGAAAGACGGAGCAAUCUGUCACUUGCGGAUGGGCCUGCGGCGCAUUAGCUAGUUGGUGAGGUAACGGCUCACCAAGGCGACGAUGCGUAGCCGACCUGAGAGGGUGAACGGCCACACUGGGACUGAGACACGGCCCAGACUCCUACGGGAGGCAGCAGUAGGGAAUCUUCCGCAAUGGGCGAAAGCCUGACGGAGCAACGCCGCGUGAGUGAUGAAGGUUUUCGGAUCGUAAAGCUCUGUUGCCAGGGAAGAACGUCCGAUAGAGUAACUGCUAUCGGAGUGACGGUACCUGAGAAGAAAGCCCCGGCUAACUACGUGCCAGCAGCCGCGGUAAUACGUAGGGGGCAAGCGUUGUCCGGAAUUAUUGGGCGUAAAGCGCGCGCAGGCGGUCAUGUAAGUCUGGUGUUUAA